AUUGAACGCUGGCGGCAGGCCUAACACAUGCAAGUCGAACGAGUGGCGGACGGGUGAGUAAUGUCUGGGAAACUGCCUGAUGGAGGGGGAUAACUACUGGAAACGGUAGCUAAUACCGCAUACCAUCAGAUGUGCCCAGAUGGGAUUAGCUAGUUGGUGGGGUAACGGCUAACAAAGGCGACGAUCCCUAGCUGGUCUGAGAGGCUGACCGGCAAAACUGGAACUGGAACAGGGUCCAGACUCCUAGGGGAGGCAGCAGUGGGAAAUAUUGCACAAUGGGCGCAAUCCGGAUGCAGCCAUGCCGCGUGUAUGAAGAGGGCCUUGGGGUUGUAAGGUACGUUCAGCGGGGAGGCGUUACCCGCAGAAGAAGCACCGGCUAACUCCGUGCCAGCAGCCGCGGUAAUAC
rnacentral:rRNA from 1 species